rnacentral:lncRNA from 1 species
CAACUGAAGACCAUUUUUUCCAAAGUUGCAAGGGUUUUUUGUGUUUUCUAUUUACUUUUGUAUUGAACGGGCUUUAUGACAACCUCAUUAUUUUACUUUCACUCAUCGAUAUAAUAAGUUUCUUAAAAGUGCUGAAACUUAAGAAAAAAUACUAAUUAUAGCACUUAUUAAGUUAAGCCGUCUCUAAAAACCAACAGUCGAUUUACCACAACGUGUAGACACUAUGCUAUUAUUAACAACGCAUUUUUCGGUUUAACCAAACUUUACAGUGCAUUUUUG